AAACUUCGGCAGGAACCCAGCUACUAGAUGGUUCGAUUAGUCUUUCGCCCCUAUACCCAAAUUUGACGAUCGAUUUGCACGUCAGAAUCGCUACGAGCCUCCACCAGAGUUUCCUCUGGCUUCACCCUAUUCAGGCAUAGUUCACCAUCUUUCGGGUCCCAACAUACAUGCUCUACCGCGGAUCCGUCAGAGAACGUCAGGUCCGGGCGUCGGUGCCCUCCACGACAGAGGUCCCAACUUUCACUUUCAUUACGCGCUCGGGUUUUCCACCCAAACACUCGCAGGUAUGUUAGACUCCUUGGUCCGUGUUUCAAGACGGGUCGUUUAAAGCCAUUAUGCCAGCAUCCUAAGCGCGAAAGUGGGCGAACCCCUGCCUUGCGGCGCGCUGCGUUCCUCGAUCCCAACCGCCGUAUGCGACUAGAGUCUAUAACACACCCGGAGGUGCCACAUUACUCUAGCCCUUUUCCGACGGUCAAAAUCGAUGCUGGCCCGUCAACCGGAAAGUGCACCAAGCAAAAGCAAGGCUGAGUUCCGGCCGACGCGACUGACUUCAAGCGUUUCCCUUUCAGCAAUUUCACGUACUGUUUAACUCUCUUUCCAAAGUGCUUUUCAUCUUUCCCUCACGGUACUUGUUCGCUAUCGGUCUCUCGCCAAUAUUUAGCUUUAGAUGGAAUUCACCACCCAUUUUGAGCUGCAUUCCCAAACAACUCGACUCUUUGAGAGCGCAUCACAAAGCACUGGUAGUCCGUGUCAAAGACGGGAUUCUCACCCUCUAUGACGCUCUGUUCCAAGAGACUUAUACACGGUCCAGCGCGGAAAGCACUUCUCCAGACUACAACUCGAGACGGCCAAAGACCGCCAGAUUUUAAAUUUGAGCUUUUCCCGCUUCACUCGCAGUUACUAGGGGGAAUCCNUGUUAGUUUCNUUUUCCCUCCG
rnacentral:rRNA from 1 species